rnacentral:rRNA from 1 species
ACGGGUGCGUAACGCGUGGGAAUCUGCCCUUUGGUUCGGAAUAACAGUUGGAAACGACUGCUAAUACCGGAUGAUGACGAAAGUCCAAAGAUUUAUCGCCAGAGGAUGAGCCCGCGUAGGAUUAGCUAGUUGGUGUGGUAAAGGCGCACCAAGGCGACGAUCCUUAGCUGGUCUGAGAGGAUGAUCAGCCACACUGGGACUGAGACACGGCCCAGACUCCUACGGGAGGCAGCAGUGGGGAAUAUUGGACAAUGGGCGAAAGCCUGAUCCAGCAAUGCCGCGUGAGUGUUGAAGGCCCUAGGGUUGUAAAGCUCUUUUACCCGGGAUGAUAAUGACAGUACCGGGAGAAUAAGCCCCGGCUAACUCCGUGCCAGCAGCCGCGGUAAUACGGAGGGGGCUAGCGUUGUUCGGAAUCACUGGGCGUAAAGCGCACGUAGGCGGCUUUGUAAGUUAGAGGUGAAAGCCUGGAGCUUAACUCCAGAACUGCCUUUAAGACUGCAUCGCUUGAAUCCGGGAGAGGUGAGUGGAAUUCCGAGUGUAGAGGUGAAAUUCGUAGA